rnacentral:rRNA from 1 species
UACGGGGGGGGCAAGCGUUGUUCGGAAUUACUGGGCGUAAAGGGCUCGUAGGUGGCCAACUAAGUCGGACGUGAAAUCCCUCGGCUUAACCGGGGAACUGCAUCCGAUACUGGAUGGCUUGAGUUCGGGAGAGGGAAGUGGAAUUCCCGGUGUAGCGGUGAAAUGCGUAGAUAUCGGGAGGAACGCCAGUGGCGAAGGCGGCUUCCUGGCCUGUCCCUGACGCUGAGACGCGAAAGCUGGGGGAGCGAACGGG